UACGAAGGGGGGCUAGCGUUGCUCGGAAUUACUGGGCGUAAAGGGCGCGUAGGCGGCACUGUUAGUCAGGCGUGAAAGUCCUGGGCUCAACCUGGGAACUGCGCUUGAUACGGCAGAGCUAGAGGAUGGAAGAGGGUCGCGGAAUUCCCAGUGUAGAGGUGAAAUUCGUAGAUAUUGGGAAGAACACCGGUGGCGAAGGCGGCGACCUGGUCCAUUACUGACGCUGAGGCGCGACAGCGUGGGGAGCAAACAGG
rnacentral:rRNA from 1 species